GACGAACGCUGGCGGCGUGCUUAACACAUGCAAGUCGAACGGAAAGGCCCUGCUUUUGUGGGGUGCUCGAGUGGCGAACGGGUGAGUAACACGUGAGUAACCUGCCCUUGACUUUGGGAUAACUUCGGGAAACUGGGGCUAAUAUCGGAUAGGAGCUCCUGCUGCAUGGUGGGGGUUGGAAAGUUUCGGCGGUUGGGGAUGGACUCGCGGCUUAUCAGCUUGUUGGUGGGGUAGUGGCUUACCAAGGCUUUGACGGGUAGCCGGCCUGAGAGGGUGACCGGCCACAUUGGGACUGAGAUACGGCGCAGACUCCUACGGGAGGCAGCAGUGGGGAAUAUUGCACAAUGGGCGGAAGCCUGAUGCAGCAACGCCGCGUGCGGGAUGACGGCCUUCGGGUUGUAAACCGCUUUCGCCUGUGACGAAGCGUGAGUGACGGUAAUGGGUAAAGAAGCACCGGCUAACUACGUG
rnacentral:rRNA from 1 species